rnacentral:rRNA from 1 species
CCUACGGGAGGCAGCAGUGAGGAAUAUUGGUCAAUGGGCGCGAGCCUGAACAAGCCAAGUCGCGUGAGGGAAGACGGUCCUAUGGAUUGUAAACCUCUUUUGUCGGGGAGCAAAAGACGCCACGCGUGGCGUUCCGAGCGUACCCGAAGAAAAAGCAUCGGCUAACUCCGUGCCAGCAGCCGCGGUAAUACGGAGGAUGCGAGCGUUAUCCGGAUUUAUUGGGUUUAAAGGGUGCGCAGGCGGAAGAUCAAGUCAGCGGUAAAAUUGAGAGGCUCAACCUCUUCGAGCCGUUGAAACUGGUGUUCUUGAGUGAGUGAGAAGUAUGCGGAAUGCGUGGUGUAGCGGUGAAAUGCAUAGAUAUCACGCAGAACUCCGAUUGCGAAGGCAGCAUACCGGCGCUCAACUGACGCUCAUGCACGAAAGUGUGGGUAUCGAACAGGAGUAGAUACCCUAGUAGUC